rnacentral:rRNA from 1 species
GGUCCGGGGAACCUGCCUGAUGGAGGGGGAUAACUACUGGAAACGGUAGCUAAUACCGCAUAACGUCGCAAGACCAAAGAGGGGGACCUUCGGGCCUCUUGCCAUCGGAUGUGCCCAGAUGGGAUUAGCUAGUAGGUGGGGUAACGGCUCACCUAGGCGACGAUCCCUAGCUGGUCUGAGAGGAUGACCAGCCACACUGGAACUGAGACACCGUCCAUACUCCUACGGGAGGCAGCCGUGGGGAAUAUUGCACAAUGGGCGCAAGUGUGAUGCUCUCUGUCACGUGU